rnacentral:lncRNA from 1 species
AGCUGAGCGCCCACAGGCACCGAUUGUCUGCAGGACUCGUACUGUACCUUCGCUUCGUUUCAGCUCUGUUAUACAGUGACGUUUGUACGUGGGCUCCUGCAAGAAGAGCAGGCUGUUUUGGAGGGCUCAUCUCUCUUUCACGUGGUUCUGUGCUCCUGCGCUGUUGCUGCUCCCGUUGCCGCUCCCAUUACUGCUGCUUCCGCUGCUGCUGCAGAGGACCUCUGUGAGGUCGUCCAUGAUGGUGGUCUCUUUAAGGUCCACCAGGUUGAACUCCCUGAUGAAUAGGAUAAAAUGUGUGUAGAGCGUGUUUAAGUGUCCGUGCAGCUCCAGUGCCAAAGUCUCCUUAAAGUGUGAGGAGUAGAUAUGGGCCAGCACGUGGAACAGGUACUUGCAGAUCUUCUUCACUAAGGACUCAAACGAGUUUGGAAAUUCUUUGCCGUAUUUUGUUGGAAAGACGUCCUCAUCUGUCACAAGUUUCUGCACUGAGCUCAUGACGAAGUCAACGUACUGAGGAGCAGUGCAUUUGAUCUUCUUCCCCCGCUCGUCAUACCAGUAGUACUGUGUAUUGCACACUGCCAUGGUCUGACACGACUCUCCUGUACAGAAUUCUGAGAUUGUACUAUAUUGUAAGUUGAUGUGAUGAAAGAAAGUUGUUGUGUUGCUGGCGAGCCACUCGUUGAGGUCUAUUUCUCGUGGUAGCAUCACCAGCUCCUUAAAUUCAAAGUCGGUAAUUCUGGAUUUUGUGUAUUCUGGCUCUAGGUAAAGUUUCUUCUCUUCCGGCGCUGGCUUUUUACCAUUUGGCUUUCCCUUGGACUUCCCCAUGAGCCAGUCCAUGGCUGGGUCCCGCCGCCCCGGGUGGCUCCCGCGGCCGCCGCGUCCUUCUCACCGCCCGCUCAUGAGGCCCCGACGUGCCCCGCCCCAGCGGCUGGCUGCCGGCCCGGCGGGCGCUGCCCGGCUGCGGCUCCGCUCGCGAGGCGGCCGGGUUCCUCGCUCUGACACUCGCGCACUCGGGCGGCCGGAAGUAAACACACGGCGCUCGCCCCGCCCCGCCGGCGGCCAACCCG